GGCUUAGUGGCUUAGUGGUUAGCACGUUCGCCUCACACCUCCAGGGUCUGGGGUUUCAAUUCCCGCCGGCGCCA